rnacentral:lncRNA from 1 species
UCCACAGGCUCAGGCUUGUAUUGCUUGUUCAGCACAUCUGAUCAUAGCUCCUUCCUGCAUCACACCUGAAAUUAGAUAGUGUUGUUAAAGACCUUUGCACUUUCUAGUGACAACCAGGUGUGAACAGAACUGACAGAAGACUUGGAUUGUGCUUGACCCUCUUCUAGAGUGUGAUCAGACAAUGUCCAGCCAAAGUUUUCAGCCUGGCCACCUGGAAGUGCUGAGGGAAGACUACAGGGAAGAGAACAAACAGUGACCAAUCUUUGCUAAGCACAUCUUCCCAGCUCCCAGCUGU